AUCCAACUGUGCUUAGGACGGCAGAUGUGGACCGCUAUCGAGAGACGACAGAAAAGUAACAUAGCCAGAGGAAAGUUGUGUGCUUCGACACAAAUCUUUCUUUUCAAAUCUUCUUGUUCGAAGAAAAUUUUCUGUUCAAGAACGUUUUCUUUGUGAUGGAAGCAGUGUCUGCAAUCGGAGGUUCUGUUCUUUCUGCUUUCUUUCAAUCGCUAUUUGAUAAAUUAACUUCCACGGAUUUCUUGAAGUAUGUUCGUGAAGGAGAAGUCCUUGUUCAACUCCAGAAGUGGGAGAAUUGGCUCAAGAGAAUUCAUGCGGUUCUUGAAGAUGCAGAGGAGAAG
rnacentral:misc_RNA from 1 species